ACUACAAUCCCAGGGAAAUAAAAAGAAGGGAUCUAGCAGAAAUUUUGAUUCUUUUUAUUCUUAUUCCUACGUAUC
rnacentral:tRNA from 1 species